UACGGGGGGGGCAAGCGUUGUUCGGAAUUACUGGGCGUAAAGGGCUCGUAGGUGGCCAACUAAGUCAGACGUGAAAUCCCUCGGCUUAACCGGGGAACUGCGUCUGAUACUGGAUGGCUAGAGAUUGGGAGAGGGAUGCGGAAUUCCAGGUGUAGCGGUGAAAUGCGCAGAUAUCAGGAAGAACACCCGUGGCUAAGGCGGUUCUCUAGUACGGUACUGACGCUGAGACGCGAAAGCGUGGGGAGCGAACAGG
rnacentral:rRNA from 1 species